UUCUUUGGUUAUUUAGCUAUAUGAGUGUUAGUUAUGGUUUCAUAAAGCUAGAUUACCAAAGCU
rfam:Dracunculus medinensis genome assembly, scaffold: DME_contig0000001